UCCCUGAUGGUUUAGUGGUCAAGACUCUGCAGUUCUACUGCAGGGGGACAUGGGUUCAAUUCCUGGUCAGGGAA
rfam:Ovis aries breed Texel chromosome 3, whole genome shotgun sequence.